AUUGGCAAGCUUGCGUGCCCCAGCGACACAGGCCUCGAGGCUGUCUCUGACAAGUGUUCACAGGAGGUGGGGACGCCUCUGCGCGAGGAACGAGGAGCUACGGGCCUGGGCCCGGUUAUUGCCAUGGGCAGCGGCUGCCGCAUCGAAUGCAUAUUCUUCAGCGAGUUCCACCCCACGCUGGGACCCAAGAUCACCUAUCAGGUCCCUGAAGACUUCAUCUCCCGAGAGCUGUUUGACACAGUCCAAGUGUAUAUCAUCACCAAGCCAGAGCUGCAAAACAAGCUUAUCACUGUCACAGCUAUGGAAAAGAAGCUGAUCGGCUGUCCUGUGUGCAUCGAACACAAGAAGUACAGCCGCAAUGCUCUCCUCUUCAACCUGGGCUUCGUGUGUGAUGCCCAGGCCAAGACCUGCGCCCUCGAGCCCAUUGUUAAAAAGCUGGCUGGCUAUCUGACCACACUAGAGGUCUGCAAUGAGAUGGGCUUGGGUUUACCAACAGGCAGAGUUGGGGAAGGUGUUCCCAUGUCUCCAAAGUCCCCCAAACCUGGGACCCUGCAAACCAGCUCAGGACUCAGGGCAGCCAACCAGCCAGGGGUCCUGGGAUGUGCCCACCAUGCUUUCCAUGCUCUGUCUAGCUAGAGAGCAGCUUCGUGUCCACGGAGGAGAGCAAGCAGAAGUUGGUGCCCAUCAUGACCAUCUUGCUGGAGGAGCUAAAUGCCUCAGGCCGGUGCACUCUGCCCAUUGGUAUGGCCAGCCUCUGCAAGGACAGCAGAGGGGUAGAGGAGAGAUGGGAAAGUGAGCCCAGCUAGUCAGGGAGAAGGACAAGACUCAUGAACACAUUGGUGGGCAGGAAAUAGCCAUGGGCUGAGGUGCCCAUGUCCAGGGUCCAAUGCAUGAUGGAGCUGGGACUGGGGGUAGGGGGAAAGCAGAGCUCUCCAGCUCUGCCCCUUGGGCAAUUCCUUCCCCUUUGUGGG
rnacentral:sRNA from 1 species